rnacentral:rRNA from 1 species
UACAGAGGAUGCAAGCGUUAUCCGGAAUGAUUGGGCGUAAAGCGUCUGUAGGUGGCUUUUUAAGUCCGCCGUCAAAUCCCAGGGCUCAACUCUGGACAGGCGGUGGAUACUACCAAGCUGGAGUACGGUAGGGGCAGAGGGAAUUUCCGGUGGAGCGGUGAAAUGCGCAGAUAUCAGGAGGAACACCGGUGGCGAAGGCGGUUCUCUGGGCCUUACCUGACACUGAGGAGCGAAAGCGUGGGGAGCGAACAGG